GAGAACGUACCACUCACUACGAAUAUGUACGGUAUGUAUGAUGAAUUUAUUUAUUAUGCACGUUGGCUGGCUACAACCGACCGACAGCGCCGCCACCACCAACACCACCUGACACUGCCGAUAACAACGUUGACGCCGAUGACGUUGUUUGUUGAUUUGUUGGGCUCGCUCGCUAGCUAGGUUGUGUUCGCUGGCUAGGUAGUUGAAAAUUGUUGGCAAACGACUUGUUUGGCUGCUAACAGGCGCACAGCGACAAGUAGCGAGUAACUUGUACAACGAAUUUUAUUUUAUAUGUGUGUACUCGAACUCGUGUGUUGUAUGUAUGUAUGUAUGCUUGUGCGGUCGGCAGGGUUGGCACAAAUUAAAUUGCAGCUGGUUGGGUGUGAUAAGUAGUAGGUAAAGUGCGCGGGCGGUAUGGCGGACAAGUAGAGUCAACGAAAUGAAAUGCAAAGUGUAGGAAAGACAAAAAUGGGUAGAACACAUGUAUGUACAUAUGUACAUACUCGUACGACAUUUAAAUACAUAUAAAAAUUAAUGUGAGUGCGAAUACGAAAAUGUGGAAAAAAUAAUUUAAACACACGCAGGCGAAGAAGAGACGAGAUAACGGCAGACACAACUCGUCAUCGAACAAACAGGCUAAUAAUUGCCAUUAAAAUGUAACUGUUGGAACUAUGCAAGUCUUAAUGGCGUUAUAAGGUAGCCAUUUUUAUUAUUUCGCAGCGCAAACUACUACUAGCGGAAGAAAAGAAAGAAAAGACCGUGGAGUUGCAAAUUUAAUUAAAUCAUUGGGGGCAAUAUUAAUUGAGAGCCGGUUAGAAAUUGAAACAGUUAGACCAAUGCAAUGCAUUCAAGGUGACUUCAACAAACUAAUUUCUAUAAUUUUUGAAAAAUAUUCGUCAUUUCAAUAUGGAGCUUUGGUCGUAUUGCAGCUACAUACAGACAUACAAAUCUACAACCGUGUAAAGCUCACACUCGUUAGCAAAUUCGCCGAGUAGGUACUUUACAGCAGGCACUGCAGUGUCAGUAGUCGUCCAAAAAAGUACUCAAAAGCACAGAGAGCAAGACAACUCUGGAAGCCGAAUGCUGAGUUGACCUGUAUGGUGCUGCGUCAAGCAAACAACCAGGCAGCUAGGCAGCCAGCCACCCAAUCGAGCAGUCAUCCAGCCGUCAGGCACCCAAGGCUGCCACGAGCCUAUGCAGUAGGAGAGUAAGCCCAAUGUAUGCGUUGUUGAGAUGAGUAACCCUUGAAAACUUUAGUGGAUGCACGCAACAUGACAUGCAACAAAAUCGAUAAAGAGGUAGCCAUGCAUUUGUGCACAACCGUGUAUAUAUUUGAAUACAUUUGGUAUACCUACUUGUGCUUGCAACUGCAUGCAAGUAUGUUUGUAUGUUUACUUAUUUAAAUUUGUCAAUUUUAUGUAUACUCAUGCCAUUGGGAUGACUUUAUUAGAACAACAGUUGGAGAAAAAAUCGAAGCUGUAGCCUCCCGCAUAAAAUAUAAGAUACAUACAUACACACAUAUCAGUUCAAAGCUAACCUCAAAAUUCGUGCUUAUAAAUUUGUACACCAACGAAUGAAUGUCUAAGCAUAUACCAUUGUCGGCAUAUACCGUAUUGUAUAAUCUCGAAUUCGGAAAGUGUUCUGAAGUGGAAAAUAAUCGGCAGGCAGUUCGUAGCUGGGGGAAAGUGACCUCAAUGUGUUAAUUAUUACUGCACUUUCUAAGCAAGGCAGACCAGCAAAAGCAAGUUAACUAAAUUUUAUUUCAAUAGCAAAAACCAAUUUUUUUAUACACUGCUUUUCGAGUACGCUUGGAAGCUGGUCAUGUAAACUGGCUUUGUUGACGCAUUGCCACACUUAAAGUUAUCGCAACUUUUGCUAAAAUAAACGGCGGCUGUUGUUGUUUUUGUUACAUGAUUUUCUUACACGGCAAAGGUGAAUAAACUCACCAUGGCUAUACAAGAAAUGCAGCCCAGCGCCAAGUCGCCAGUUGCCCGAUAUGCCAGUCUCCAAACACAGCUAAGCACAGCGUACAGCGCACAGCAAAAAGUGUACAACAAACGAUUUACAGCAACAACAACAACAACAGCAAUAUGAAACUAACACACAAAAUGCGACAGCAGUGCUCUUGCUGUUUUGUGAGCUGCGGUUGCCAACAUUGCGAUUUAACGGCUAUAACUUUCAAACAAAAAAAGCGUUCAAAGAAGCAGAAAAACGGCAAUAUACAAAUUAAAAGAAAUAAAAAGAAAAAAAUUUACUAACUAAGAGUGACUUAAAGCGAGGAGCAAAAAUAAGAUAGGUAUGUACAUAUAAACAUACUCGUAUAUCACAAAAAUAAUGUACAUAUAAUAAGAAAGGCAACAAACAGCACAUCAACAAAUCGAAAUCAGUACCAACUAAAGAAAGAGUAACACUUAACAAACCGUAAAAGCGAUCAGCCAAAGCAAAGCGCACUGGCAUAUGCCCAUACAUACAUACAUACAUACAUACAGACUAUAUAGAGAGAUCGUGUGUAUGAUUUUUAGUAAAUGUGGCAAUUGAAGAAACAGAAAAUUAAGCAAUAUGUACGUCUAACGCCUCAACUUAGACACAAAGUAAGCCCCAACAGUGUAAACAGAGCUAAACGGACGGAUGGACGAACAGUCAGCGUCAGAAUGCCUGUCGGCCAGCCAGCUAAAUAGCCAGCGAAGCAGUCAUUUAGCCAAUGAUCGUGGCGGUGCGACCGAGUCAACUAACCAAAUACGAUUUUAGCAAACUACCGAUACGACGACAUCAAGCCAUAAUUUUAUAUGUACGAGUACUUAUAGACAACGUUUUGAGCUUGUGAUGCCAGCACAAUGCAGGCAAAAGCAGUGGCAGACAAACACGACAGACAGACAAAUAAAUGCGCUGACACACAGCUAGAUUGACCGACUGACAGACAGAAGACAGGCAGGCAGGCGCACAAGUCCGUCGGCCGUAAGCGGCAGUAGGCGAGAAGCAAUAAGCGAUCGACGACUCCAAUGAUGAAGGCAUACAUACUACAUUGAGUGAACUGUUGCAACAUGGAGCGGUUGAAAGUGCGCACUGUUGUUGGAUCAUUUGUGCCAACAGCCAAACGUCGUCAACGAAUCGAUAAAUGUGCGCAGAAUUCGUGUUGUUGUUGAACUGUAUUAACCGUUGUAUGCAGUUGAUUUUUUCGCUUUUUAGUACUUUGUUUGUUUGCUUGUUUGCUCUCUACAUUGCGCAGAAGAAGGCGUACAACGGCGCACCGUAACUAACGUGAAAACGUCACCGCACAAAAUCGAUGCGCUACUACGUCGGGUAAUCAACGAGAAUCGACAUUAUCUGAGACGCCAUUAUUAAUUUUAUUAUGUAUAUAUGUACAUUUUACGUUUUUUGUCGCGUAUUUAUAUACUUAUGCAUAAAUAAAUGCCUGUGUAUAUAAUAUACAUAAAUACAUAUGUAUAUUCGUUAGCGUAUGUAAAUAUAUUCGUUUGUGGCGCUGUUUUUUGUUUCCAAAGUAAAUGAAUGUAUCGUUUAAUUUGCUAUUUAAAAUUCUGUGUAUGGUGACCCUGACGUGUAUUGAAGUCAGCGCGACGACAAGAAUGCUUUUUGCUUUAAAUUAUUGUAUUUUUUAUUAUUAUUUACUCAAGUGAAUCUCGGUGACAUAAUAUACAUAAAUAUAUUUUACUGU